AUCACUUCUCAGCCUUUUGGCUAAGAUCAAGCGUAGUAUCUGUUCUGGUCAGCUUAAUAUCUGACGCGUCCUCUCUUGGAGGACGGUAUAUUAGGGGAAUUUUCAGAGCCGGGAGCGGGACUAGGAGUUUCCUCCGUCCGCUCCGCGCAUCGCCCUGGUAUUGCAGUGCUUCCAGGAGCGGUGCCCACCCC
rnacentral:snRNA from 1 species